AGGGGGGACGGAGAAGGCUAUGUUAGCCGGGCGACGGUUGUCCCGGUUUAAGCAUGUAGGCUGGUUAUCCAGGCAAAUCCGGAUAAUCAAGGCUGAGGUGUGAUGACGAGGUACUACGGUGCUGAAGUAACAAAUGCCCUGCUUCCAGGAAAAGCCUCUAAGCAUCAGGUAACAUUAAAUCGUACCCCAAACCGACACAGGUGGUCAGGUAGAGAAUACCAAG
rnacentral:rRNA from 1 species